rnacentral:lncRNA from 1 species
GUGAAUGAAGCAACCAUCAGUAGCAGACCCACUUUGGAGUCUCUUGGGAAAGUGUGAACAUGACAGUAAACAGCCUACAUCAAAGACAUUUCAAUUCUGCAACAAGCCUUUCUGUUUCAGAGAGGAGGAAUUUCAUGAAAAUUCAUGGAAGACAUAAUCUCUUCACAUUUUGCUUAACUAGGUAAAGUAGAUAGGCCCCUG